UGGGUAACGCGUGAGUAACCUGCCUUACACAAGGGGAUUGCCUCUGGAAACGGAGAAUAAUACCCUAUGAAACUAUCUUAUCGCAUGAAAAGAUAGUCAAAGUGUUUUAGCGGUGUAAGAUGGACUUGCGUCUGAUUAGCUAGUUGGUGAGAUAACAGCCCACCAAGGCAACGAUCAGUAGCCGGCUUGAGAGAGUGUACGGCCACAUUGGGACUGAGACACGGCCCAG
rnacentral:rRNA from 1 species